rnacentral:rRNA from 1 species
CCCGACUGCUAUUUGGGUGAGGAUAAGCCAUGCGAGUUGAAUGGGAUACCUAAAAAUCCCAUGGCAAACUGCUCAGUAACACAUGAUCAACUUACCCUAUAUAGGAAAAUAACCUCGGGAAACUGAGGAUAAUGUUCCAUAGUUGAAUCGGCUUGGAAAAGUUUUUCGACGAAAGGGGUAAAAAAAAUGGUUUUUAUCUGCUAUAGGAUAGGAUCGUGUUCGAUUAUGGUUGUUGGUGAGGUAAUGGCUCACCAAGCCGAUAAUCGAUAGGGGCCGUGAGAGCGGGAGCCCCGAGAUGGGUACUGAGACAACGACCCAGGCCUUACGAGGCGCAGCAGGCGCGAAACCUCCGCAAUACACGAAAGUGUGACGGGGUUACCCAAAGUGUUCAAUUUUGAACUGUGGUAGGUGAGUAAUGUUCCCUACUAGAAAGGAGAGGGCAAGGCUGGUGCCAGCCGCCGCGGUAAAACCAGCUCUUCAAGUGGUCGGGAUAAUUAUUGGGCUUAAAGUGUCCGUAGCCGGUUUAGUAAGUUCCUGGUAAAAUCGGGUAGCUUAACUAUCUAUAUGCUAGGAAUACUACUAUACUAGAGGGCGGGAGAGGUCUGAGGUACUACAGGGGUAGGGGUGAAAUCUUAUAAUCCUUGUUGGACCACCAGUGGCGAAGGCGUCAGACUGGAACGCGCCUGACGGUGAGGAACGAAAGCCAGGGGAGCGAACCGGAUUAGAUACCCGGGUAGUCCUGGCCGUAAACGAUGCAUACUAUGUGAUGGCACGGCCAUGAGCCGUGUCAGUGCCGUAAGGAAACCGUUAAGUGUGCGCCUGGGAAGUACGGUCG